UUUGCGUUAGGGAUAGAAGUGAAAAUCCUUUUAAAGAUUGACCUGUAGUGCAACGAAAGGAAAAGCUUUAAAAGAUUGCAGCGGAUAGCCCGGCCACAG
rnacentral:sRNA from 1 species